UACGAAGGGGGCUAGCGUUGCUCGGAAUUACUGGGCGUAAAGCGCACGUAGGCGGCUUUCUAAGUCGGGGGUGAAAUCCUGGAGCUCAACUCCAGAACUGCCUUUGAUACUGGCGAUCUCGAGUCCGGGAGAGGUGAGUGGAACUCCGAGUGUAGAGGUGAAAUUCGUAGAUAUUCGGAAGAACACCAGUGGCGAAGGCGGCUCACUGGCCCGGUACUGACGCUGAGGUGCGAAAGCGUGGGGAGCGAACAGG
rnacentral:rRNA from 1 species